ACUCCUACGGGAGGCAGCAGUGGGGAAUAUUGCGCAAUGGGGGAAACCCUGACGCAGCAAUACCGCGUGAGUGAAGAAGGUUUUCGGAUCGUAAAGCUCUGUUAUUGGGGAAGAAAAAAAGACGGUACCCAAGAAG
rnacentral:rRNA from 1 species